UGGAAUUUCAGUAAUGGUCUCUCAGUUUCUUAGCCAUGUGACCUCAGGGAGCUCGUUGAGGCUGUUUCCUCGUCUGCGAAAUAAGGUACUACAAUCGGCUUUACGGCGUCACGCAGCAAGAGCAGAGGUAACAUUUAGGGCCGUCAUUAACGCUAUGGCAGGAGCGCGGAUGAUUCCAGCCCAGGGCCCGGCAGAGAGGGCGCUCUGUAGCACAGUGAGGUCUGAGAGUCCGCGUCUUGGCAUCUAAUUGAAUGUCUACUACGAUGUGGGUGGGUUCCAGCUCUCUCAGAAGCAGAUCCUGAGAGAAGGACUGAAGUGCAAGCAGCUAUGUGGGAGGUGAUCCCAGGAAACGCCUGUAGGGGAGAGGAAAAUGGAGCCGCCCAAGUCCCUGCAGGGACUUCACUGAGAAAUAAAUGACUGAGGCUUCCGCUGUGGACAACCGGGCUCAAGCCUGUUGGGACCUUCACGUCGACUGCUUGGCUGUGAUGUUUGGAGCUGGCACAGUCAUCUUGUCUCCUUGAAGCAUAACAUCAUCAACAUGCUGAGGAUGGAAGAGCAGAGAGCUGAAAGGAGCCGGGGCCCUGGUGAGCAUGUUUAAUUAGCAGAUCCCAACGGCAGAACCUAAGACACCAGAGGAAAAGUUCUCCCUCUUCUACAGUUCCUUGCUGCCCAAGCCAUCUUAUUUAAUAGGCAUACAAAGAAUCAGAAAUAAGAAUACCAUAAGACAUCUCAACAGCAAUAUGGAAAGUUAGAAUAUAGCAAAAUAUAUCUUCAAAGCUCAAAAAGACUACCAAUCACCAGUUGUGGUUUGUGAUUUGGACAGAUGAGGGUUUGGAUUCCAGACAUCCCAUCUUUGAGAAUGAACACACCACUAAUCUUAGGCAAGCUACUCAACCUUGUUCUCCACUGUGGACAAUCAAGUGAUAUAACCCAACUCACAGGAUUGUUUGGGUCAUUAAGUGAAAUAAAGUGUGUCAACUCCCCAUUAGUAUCUGGGACAUGGUAAUUGAUUAAUGUAUAGAGAUAGGUUUAGUGUUAUCAAGAUUUA
rnacentral:lncRNA from 1 species